UACAGAGGUCCCAAGCGUUGUUCGGAUUCAUUGGGCGUAAAGGGUGCGUAGGCGGUAGGGUAAGUUGGAUGUGAAAUCUUGGGGCUUAACCUCAAAAUUGCAUUCAAUACUGCCUUGCUCGAGUUCUGUAGAGGAGAUUGGAAUUUACGGUGUAGCAGUGAAAUGCGUAGAUAUCGUAAGGAACGCCAGUGGCGAAAGCGAAUCUCUGGGCAGCAACUGACGCUGAGGCACGAAGGCCAGGGGAGCAAACGGG
rnacentral:rRNA from 1 species